rnacentral:sRNA from 1 species
GUCUUCCAUUUUGCUCCAUCACUUUUCUGCUUCUCUUCCUCCCUCUUUCUCUUCCCCUCUCUCUGCCUCAAAUUCAAUCCGAUCAUCUAAAAACGUAGUUCCUCUAUUUUUCUCCGCCGUUUUCCAGGAAUCGAUCAUUGUUGCUGCUGUAGUAGUUAUCGUCCACGCAGUCCAUCACCGCCCGACCACACAAACCUUAACGGCGGCCGGAGAACCACAGAACCAAGAGUAAAAAAAAAAAGAGAGCGGGAAGCAGCCAAAAUACAGAGAAGAUGGCAAGAGAGAGGAGAAAUGGAAAGCAGAAAAACAAAAACCCUGUUGCAAACGUGGUGUGCUAGCGAGAUUUCUCUGUCUUUCAUUGCUGGCUGCUUUGGCUUUUUGAUUGUUCAAGAUAUUUCUUUCCGUUUUCUCUCCUGACUUCCCCUUGCAUGCAUAGCCCUGCAUCCCUGCCACGAUCUCGCCUUCGAUUCCAACAAGUGCGAUCAAUCUCGCCCUUCAAUUCCCUGCAUAAUCCUCCUUUUCCAGGCCUCUCCGCCCAUCUGUCCUGAACGAAACCGUGGAUCGACUGCUUCCCUUGAAAUCAAACCUUAAUUUUGCCCCCAAACGAAUUCGAACCCAGCCAAACUCAAAUCCCUGCAAUUUUUUUUGCCUUUAAAAGGUUUGGAUCGGUGCCGAUUGAUGUUGGAUUUUGUGAGGCUGGAUUUCUUACCUCUAAGAUUUGUUGGUGUUUUCUCUAUAUUGUUAGAUCUGUGGCACGGUGUGUCUCCAUAUCACCACCAAUGGAAGUUUUGAUUAGAAGAGGAGGCACAGGCAACUGGUCAAGAGACUUGGCUCGAUUUUCGACGGGGGACAAAGAUUUAGAUGGAUUCUAGAUGGAAAUUAAUCGCAGAGGUAAACGUCAACAGCAUGAAGGCUUUGACUAGUGAGAGACAUGCUGAGCAAGCAAAUGCGAAGGCGACUCUCUGAGGAUGAAAGAAACAACCUCUACCCAAAGUGGGGUAUCAGUUUGCAUUCGCAGCAUAGGCAGUUGCAAUUGGAAGACCUUCUGUGGAAUGAAACACAAAACCUGGACCGUGUCAUGGACAGUGCCACAAUUGUUGCAAAGUUGGUAGGUUCAGUAGAGCCCGAGCAAGCAUUCAAUGAGAUGUUUGGACUCAGAUUUGCACCGCGAGACACUCUUGCAAAGCCGAAAUCUCACUUUUGGUCAGAAAGUUUCAAGUCUCUUGUGUAAGCUUGCGAGAUUGAUCACGCAGUAUACAAGUUUCAUCAAGUCCAAUUCCAUUCGCGUAUAGGUUAUGAUUCCGUGAUAAAUAUCCCAUUUGAUCUUUUAAUUGUAUAUUUUUUUCUUUUUUUGAUCUGUUUUCUGAUUGUAAUUUUUUUGUUUUUGAGUUGAAGUUCUGACUAAUUGAUUGUAAAUUUGGUCGGGCUAGAAAUGGUGCGUAAGGCUUCCCUAGUUGCUUGUAAAGUAAAAUUCCUUACUGAUACUCGAAAGAAAAGAACACUAAGCUACACUUUUUA